CCUACGGGUGGCAGCAGUGGGGAAUAUUGGACAAUGGGGGCAACCCUGAUCCAGCCAUGCCGCGUGUGUGAAGAAGGCCCUCGGGUUGUAAAGCACUUUCAGUGAGGAAGAACGCCUGGUGGUUAAUACCCAUCAGGAAAGACAUCACUCACAGAAGAAGCACCGGCUAACUCCGUGCCAGCAGCCGCGGUAAUACGGAGGGUGCGAGCGUUAAUCGGAAUUACUGGGCGUAAAGCGCGCGUAGGUGGCUUGAUAAGCCGGUUGUGAAAGCCCCGGGCUCAACCUGGGAACGGCAUCCGGAACUGUCAAGCUAGAGUGCAGGAGAGGAAGGGAGAAUUCCCGGUGUAGCGGUGAAAUGCGUAGAGAUCGGGAGGAAUACCAGUGGCGAAGGCGGCCUUCUGGACUGACACUGACACUGAGGUGCGAAAGCGUGGGUAGCAAACAGGAUUAGAUACCUUGUAGUC
rnacentral:rRNA from 1 species